AGUUCCUAAUUAAGAAAAGAAAAUCAUCUGAGUUAUAAAAGUGUUUUCUCUCUGCCCAAAAAACCCAAAGUAUAGCUUUUUGGAAUCCCCAGGUCUGUAUAGCCAUAGCUGUCCUCCCACAAAACCCACGAGAGAUUUAACUGGCUUCUUAAUGCAAGAAAACUAUUUAGACUAAAAGAGUUACCACUGAAAGUCAGAAUCUGGAUUCCUCUGAACAGUGAAAUGAAACCUCAUUUUAUCUUUUCUUCCCCUUGCUUAGGUUACAACACGUUUGAAACAACAGACAGACAUAUGGAUGGACUGAACUUCUACUGAUGAUGUAAGCAUGAAUGAGUUCUAUUCCAAACACACAGCCUUCGUCCCUGAGAACAUCCCAGGUCCAGCACAGAAGCCGUUAAGGGUCGCUGACAUGGCCCAGGAUCAGCUACCACAGUGGCUGAAGUUCAGUGAGAAGGUACCUCGGCUAGAGAACUCUCAGGAAAUAAUGCUGUAAAAUGUGACUACGGACGAUGCAUCAGUGAGCAAAGAAUGUAUUCAUCAUGUGUGGAAACAUCUUCGGUGCUGAGCUGUUUGGGCGGAUUCCAAGGGACGAGAAUGUGUCGAGAGCACGGGCUGUUUCUCUUCUGUGAGCUCGUUGCCGGUCACUGACCUGGAU